rnacentral:lncRNA from 1 species
GAGCUUAGAGGAAACAGGAAGAUGCUAUCAUGGCCCAGAGACACUGCAAGACAACACGAACUGUAAUCACUGUGGACAAAUCAGAUCCAGCUGCCACAGCAAUCAAGCAACUGAAUCAGAGGACACCCGCGUGGUUUCCUGCUUUCUGUCAGGCCCAUCCUACAAUCAGAGGCCUCUGAAAUCUUUCAGGAGUGUAGAACACAUUAAAAAUGUGAAGUUGUGUCACAGAAGAAAAUGCAAUCAAAUAAUACAACCUGGGGAUAGAGAGACUGUUGUAUUUUCAGUUAUUACUUAUUUUCUUGCAAAGCUGCGUGAUUAGAAGAAAUCUUGGUGAGUUGGCUCCCUCAUAACCUUUAUUUAAUCUUAGCUAAACUACUCCCAUGCUCAUUUUAUUCA